rnacentral:miRNA from 1 species
AACUCAUUCUGCUGGUUGUUAUG